GUAGGGAAUAUUGGGCAAUGGAUGCAAGUCUGACCCAGCCAUCCCGCGUGCCGGAAGAAGGCCCUCAGGGUUGUAAACGGCUUUUGACGGUGAAGAAUCGACAGGAUGCGCCCUGUUUUGACGGUAGCCGUUGAAUAAGCACCGGCUAACUCCGUGCCAGCAGCCGCGGUAAUACGUAGGGGGCGAGCGUUGCUCGGAUUGACUGGGCGUAAAGCGCGCGUAGGCGGUCCAUUAAGUGUGCGGUGAAAUUCGGAGGCUCAACCUCCGUCCCGCCGCGCAAACUGAUGGUCUUGAGAUUGGGAGGGGGAUGCGGAAUUCCUGGUGUAGCGGUGAAAUGCAUUGAUAUCAGGAGGAACACCGGCGGCGAAAGCGGCAUCCUGGCUUAUAUCUGACGCUGAGGCGCGAAAGCGUGGGUAGCAAACGGGAUUAGAUACCCUAGUAGUCC
rnacentral:rRNA from 1 species